CAAAGAACAAGCCAGGAGAUAACAUAAGAUUAAUCUCAAAACAACACUGAACAUCUUCAAGAUUUUUCCGCAGGCUUGAUGCUUAGUUUAUGAUACCUGUGAAACCAACUCAAAGUACUUGCAGCUGUAUGCAGAAGAGGGAGUUAUGAGCCAGAACAUGGAGCAACUAGACUUUCAAUUAUCCUGAUGCAACUGAGGCUAACAAAGUUGAAUUACUAGUGAGAGUUUAUGAUCCUUCAAGUAAUAAAACAAUGCUUUCGCAGAGACGGACAGCAGGAGGACAGCCUGUCAGAAUAUAUUAAAUUAAUUUCAAUCAGUUCCAUGGAAGAAUGAAGGAAAGUGGCAACGGCAGU